GCUUGAGACCUUGACCAGCCGCCCCGCUUGAUGGUGGGUGUGCUACUAUUACAGAUUAAUGUUCAAAUUUAUGGAUAUUCAUUAUUUUUGUUACUUUUCACCCUAUAAAUAAUUUGUUUGGUCGUAUAAGUAAAGGAGAUCUAUUUUUGAGACCAGUGAUUUGUAGAAAUCUUUAAUUAUAAAGAGGAACUUAAGUUUCAAUCAUCAUGUGAAUACAAAAAUAUCGUGAGUAUUUUUUAGUAGAAGCCGACCGAAGCAAUCUCUACCUGAUUAAUGAGGAACUUUAUUAGACAAAAUUACUGAGGUACUCAUGCAAAAUAUUAUGUGAACCAUUAGCUAAUCUACAAACUCCAAGUGAUUACCAUAUUGCACUGCCCUGUGCUUCUUAAUGGAUUUGAGAUCUAUGGAAGCCAUCCCACAACACAAAAUAUAGUAGAGGAUCAUGCUAGAAUAAGAUUUUAGUUUAGCACUGCCCAGAGUAAUUGAGGGUCUCCAUUUGUUUUUCAUUUUUUGUGGGGGGCAUAGUGGGCGACAUCCUCUCAUUAUCCAUUAAUAGGUCUGAUUUAUAAUUUCAUGCAGAUCGUACAUACUGGAGGUGAUCUAGUUGCUCAAUGGAGCCGGCUGGUGCCCAAUGCCGAAGUGCCACUGGUUGGAGGAAGUUGACCUCAAAGUGUUGUUCACUGGAGGAAGAUGAUGUACAAGGUUGUUCGGAUGCCGAGAGAUUUUAUAUAUGCAUGCGACCAUGAGAUUUUGGUCCUAUCUAGAGAUAUUCUGUUUGGAGAUAUCGAAUAUCUGCAAAUUUCUGAGAGUUUAGAUUUGUUUGGAGAGAUGGCAUCAUUGUACAGUUUUUUGUGGGAAGGAUCUUCAGAGUUUGGUCAUGUUUCUUACCCUGUACGCCCCAUUUUUUAUUAUAUGGGAUGGUCUGACCGCUCGUGGGAUGGUGCGGCCUGUUUUUUCAGUUAAUGGUCCAGUCUAUCAUGAGUUUGUGUACAGGUCCAACCUGUUAUGGUCUCACGUCCGAGAAAU
rnacentral:lncRNA from 1 species